CCCACAGGUCAGCCCAAGUCCGCACCCUCGGUCACUCUGUUCCCGCCAUCCUCUGAGGAGCUGAGCAACAACAAGGCCACACUGGUGUGUCUCAUCAGUGACUUCUACCCCGGCAGCGUGACGGUGGCCUGGAAGGCCAAUGGCAACACCGUCACCCAGGGCGUGGAGACCACCAAGCCCUCGAAACAGACCAACAACAAGUACGCGGCCAGCAGCUACCUGAGCCUGACGCGUGAUCAGUGGAGCUCCACCAGCAGAUACAGCUGCCAGGUCACGCACGAGGGGAGCACCGUGGAGAAGACAGUGGUUCCUGCAGAGUGUUCUUAGGACCUGAGCCCCCACUUCUGGGACUCUCCUCAGUCAGACACUUCAUUCCCCAGCUCCAAACUGUACCCCUAAGACUCCGGCCCUGGUCUGCUCAGACUGGGCAGGUCUUGCACCCUCCCCA